ACUCAAAUGAAUUGACGGGGGCCCGCACAAGCGGUGGAGCAUGUGGUUUAAUUCGAUGCAACGCGAAGAACCUUACCUACCCUUGACAUCCGCAGAAUUUCACAGAGAUGUGGAAGUGCCGAAAGGAACUGCGAGACAGGUGCUGCAUGGCUGUCGUCAGCUCGUGUUGUGAGAUGUUGGGUUAAGUCCCGUAACGAGCGCAACCCUUAUCUUUAGUUACCAGCACGUAAUGGUGGGAACUCUAAAGAGACUGCUGGUGAAGAACCGGAGGAAGGCGGGGACGACGUCAAGUCAUCAUGGCCUUUAUGGGUAGGGCUACACACGUGCUACAAUGGGAUGUACAGAGGGAAGCCAACCCGCGAGGGGGAGCCAAUCCCAGAAAACAUUUCGUAGUCCGGAUUGAAGUCUGCAACUCGACUUCAUGAAGUUGGAAUCGCUAGUAAUCGCGAAUCAGAAUGUCGCGGUGAAUACGUUCCCGGGCCUUGUACACACCGCCCGU
rnacentral:rRNA from 1 species